rnacentral:rRNA from 1 species
CAGUAGCCGCGGGAAUACGUAGGGUGCAAGCGUUAAUCGGAAUUACUGGGCGUAAAGCGUGCGCAGGCGGUUUGUUAAGACAGAUGUGAAAUCCCCGGGCUUAACCUGGGAACUGCAUUUGUGACUGGCGAGCUAGAGUAUGGCAGAGGGGGGUAGAAUUCCACGUGUAGCAGUGAAAUGCGUAGAGAUGUGGAGGAAUACCGAUGGCGAAGGCAGCCCCCUGGGCCAAUACUGACGCUCAUGCACGAAAGCGUGGGGAGCAAACAGGAUUAGAUACCCCAGUAGUCCCUGUCUCUUAUAC